GGAAGAGGAAGGUGAACAAGCCUGCUGAGAGCUCAAGGCUGGCUGUGCAGAGGGGGCGUAGGUUGCUCUUCAAAGUCCUGAAGAUUUUCACUAAGGUUGGAUGGCUGCAGCCCUUCCUGUACAUCAUGGGACCAGGCCCCUGUUCCUUGCCAACUGGCUGUUGUACAUAGCAGUGAUCCAGGACCAAGAAGUCAUUUCCAGCAUCCACCACAGAGUUCUCUGGCUGGGCAGAGGAGCAGAAAACAGUUCUUCCUUCAAGGCGAGUAGUGCAUGAAGCCAUAGAAGACUUUCUCUGUAAUUUCCUGAUCAAAAUGGAAAUGACCAGGACCCUGGACUGCUUUCAGGCCGAAUGGUAAACCAUUACGUGGAUAGGUAGUUCUCUGGGAAUGUUAGCACAUUUACAUGUGUAAAUUUAUCUUUCUUAAAGGACUUUGCAAUAAUAAGUACUUUGGUUUCUUUUGCUGUUGCUGUGAUAAAAUACAAAAGCAGCUGAAGGAAGGAAAGGUUUAUUUGGGAGUCAAUUCAAGUUACAUUAUUUACAGUUGUCAUGGUGGGGGCAUCAAGCAAAUUCUUUUUUUGUUUUGUUUUUGUUUUUCGAGACAGGGUUUCUCUGUAUUGUUUUGAAGGCUGUCCUGGAACUAGCUCUUGUAGACCAGUCUGGUCUCUCACAGAGAUCCGCCUGCCUCUGCCUCCUGAGUGCUGGGAUUAAAGGCACAUGCCACCAAUGCCCAGCCUUUGAGCAAAUUCUUAAGGCCACUAGCUCGUGGAAGGUGUGUCACAGGAUAUGGCCAGUGUGAAAAUUUAAUACCAAUUAAGGGUCCCUGAAAUACUAAGUAAUAAACUACAGUGCCAAACAAAUUAUAAAACACUUGUUUCCUGUUGAAAUAUUUGCCAAGUCAACUUACAGAAGAAAAAUCUGCACUGACACACAAACUUGCAAAGAUAAUACAUGCCAUUGAUGAUUAGAGAGACAAAAAUUAAAUUACAAAAUUCCUCUUUGUAGCCACGACAGCAAUGAAUGUAAGAGUCUCUCUAUUUCAUGCUCUUCCACACAUAUGGAGAGGAGCUUUAUAUGCUGCUGGUUUGGAUACCAAAUCUCUAACAUCCAGUGAUUUUUGAAGCAUGUACCCAGCUAGAAUGUUACCUGUACUGGAACAUUUUUUUUCCCUGAAAUCACUACAUUUUGUUUAGGGAAAGAUACUCGGGGUGACAAUAAGGAUCAUAUUCAGAAUGUGACAGUGUCUUGGAGGGGGACAGAAGUGGGUACAAGCACACCUUAAGCCAGAGACUCAACAUUGCAUUCCAUAAGAAUGCAAUGUUGGCUGAUUGCUGGCUUCACCAGUACAUAGUUCCAGUUUCAUAUUGUUACUGUUGAAUCUGGAGUGUUCCCCACAGGCUCAUGUUUUGAAGAUUUGGUCCCCAACUUCUGGCGUUGUUUUGAAGGCUGUGGAGCUGGGGCCUUGAUGGCAAAGUAGGUCAUUAGAAAGGCUAGACUUGUACCUGGUUCUAGACUUCCUGGUCCACCCACCAUAGAACCCAUUUAUUUUGCCAUGAGCCAAAAUACAUCAUUCUUUGCUUAAGCUGAUGCUGUUUGGUAUUUUGCCACAAUAGUGGGCAACACACAUUUGUCUAACAUACCUUAUAACUCUUACUUCAAAUGCUUUUGAAAUUUUGUUCAGAGAGGUACA